rnacentral:rRNA from 1 species
UACGUAGGGGGCAAGCGGUUGUCCGGAUUCAUUGGGCGUAAAGAGCGUGUAGGACGGCCAGGUAGGUCGGUUGUGAAACUGGAGGCUCAACCUUCAAGAGGUCGACCGAAACCAUCUGGCUAGAGUCCGGGAAGAGGAGAGUGGAAUUCCUGGGUGUAGCGGUGAAAUGCGCAGAGUAUCAGGAAGAACACCCCGUGGCGAAAGCGGCUCUCUGGAAACGGGUACUGACGCUGAAGACGCGAAACGUG